UAUACGACUCUCGGCAACGGAUAUCUCGGCUCUCGCAUCGAUGAAGAACGUAGCGAAAUGCGAUACUUGGUGUGAAUUGCAGAAUCCCGUGAACCAUCGAUCUUUGAACGCAAGUUGCGCCCGAGGCCUUUCGGUUGAGGGCACGCCUGCCUGGGCGUCACGC
rnacentral:rRNA from 1 species